rnacentral:ncRNA from 1 species
UCCGACCGGCCGGACACGUAUGUGAACGGCCCACAAGUGGAGGCUCCGAUCUCCCACCCGGCCGACCCUCAGGGGCGGCGGGUCACUGGUCAGGCUGCGCCCCGCGGAGACUUCGCGGCGGUGCUCCCGAUCUCGUUCUGGAGCCCCGCCUGUGUCCCGUCCGGGGCGUUUUCC